UUCUCUAGAGAGGAUGCUCGCGCUGUUCCGCCCUCGACGCCGCUCUUCGCAGUUUCAGUGCUGCUUGGGUCAUGUGGGGGCGUGGGACAGAGGCUAGACGUCCUACUACCUCUCGGCUCCUUGUGGGAGGCUCCGCGUGCUCGACGGCUGCAUAUCUGCGCGUUGUACAGACCCAAGUUGAUGUCGCGGAUGAGCCAUCGAGUCCGCCUGAGGGCGCAAGCGCUGUCCUUCUUGUCCAGGCGCGGGGAUAGAGGUGCAGGUUGCGCGGCGCAUGCCUACAUGAGUGCGCACGAUCACGAUGCGGCGCUAUGGUCCUUGUCCAGGCGGCCCAAACGCUGGGCCAAGCCUGCUGGACGCAUGCCCGGACCCUGCUAGCGAAACGUCGGCCGCGUCCGCAGUCUCUCUCGCCGAGGAGAUCGCGGACAACACCACGAGGGCGCCUGCCGGACCUGCAGAUUCUCACAUAGUCAAGGCCCUGAGCCACCAUGCCCUGCCCCUCGGUGACUUCAUCCACCACGACUCCAGCAACAGUCUUCGAGCCUGCUACCACGAAUUGGUUGCUCAGUCCACAGCUUUUCUCCCACAUCAGGCAGACGUGUUUGUUCAGAUUUUCCUUCAUUGCGAUUUGUGCACACAACCUGUUUGUUGAAAUGACUACCUGCUAAUCCUCUUAUGCACAUGGAAAAUACUUCUCCAGGUUAGAUUGGAGGAUUAAUCAUUUCAUUCAAGGAGUUCUUUCUAGUUCAUGAGGUGCUUUUCCACUCGCCAAUCCUCUCUGUUGAACCAGCAUGUGUUCUUUGUCACAGAGACCGGCCGCCCCAAAACAAGAUUGUUUUGUUGACAUCUUCGGAGAUAGAGUGCAGUUGAUUUUGUUGAUUGCAUAUUUGCGUCAGAUUGUUCAAGCGUUUUAACUAGGCAUGCUUGGAUUUGCAGUGUUGGAAGACAUGUAUAUGGUAUCACACCUAUUGCCAUUCACAUCAAUUCCUUGCCUCGAUCUAGAGGGAAGAUGAGCCAUGGCCUUCUGCUUUCAUCGAGCAUGCACAUUGCCUACUCUGGUGUUGAUUAUCGCCAAGGCGCUGAACGAUGUCUUUGAAGUAUUAGAAGUUGGCAUUGAAGAAAUAUUGGCCGAGAAUUCUGGAUUUCGGUUGCCUUUUGCUACUGAUACUUAUUCAUCGGUUCCUUCAGUUGUGCCACCUGUUAUAUUCAUGGUCUGGUUAGUUCUCAAGUACAUGCUACUUUCGAACCAUCAGCUGAUCAUGCGCCUUACGUUGCUGGCAAGAGACCACUCUACCUCUGAACUAUUGCUGCAGCAAACCCAAUUAAAGGUUUCAUGUAGGCACUUAACACUUGAUGUGGCUGAGGAAGGUUGAAGGGCUACAAAAGAAAAAGUGAUAACAAAGGAAAAAACUGAAGGCCAUCUAAUACAAUACCUCAAAGAGUAGCACCUAUAAAAACAAGAAGGCAUCCAAGUAGAAAGCUUCACGCUACCAGCAAAUUAAACAACGAAGUAUCAUCUGCAGCAACAAACGAGGUUAGCCGAAGAAGUGAACAAGUAUCCAGACUUGUGAUCUAUAUCAAGAUAUCUAUUUUGUCAAUGCCAGCCACCAAAAUUACAUGUCAAAUGUUAUUUGCCUACCUGUCACUAUAGGAAGUAUGAACACUGCUGACUGCGAUAAAAUUAUCUAUAAACACCACCAGUGUAUUGGUAGUAUUAAGCACUUGAGUACCCCUGUGUAAUUACUCCAACUGCCUGCCUUCGUUCAUGCCAAUUUAGUCAUCUUGACUAAUU